UCGAGAAUUUUUCACAAUGGGCGAAAGCCUGAUGGAGCGACGCCGCGUGGGGGAUGAAUGGCUUCGGCCCGUAAACCCCUGUCAUUCGCGAUCAACCCUUACUAUUUAAAAGAUGGUAAGCUGAUAGUAGCGGAAGAGGAAGGGACGGCUAACUCUGUGCCAGCAGCCGCGGUAAUACAGAGGUCCCAAGCGUUGUUCGGAUUCACUGGGCGUAAAGGGUGCGUAGGUGGUGAGGUAAGUCGGAUGUGAAAGCUCGGAGCUCAACUCCGAAAUGGCAUUGGAAACUACCUUGCUUGAGGAUUGGAGGGGGGACUGGAAUACUUGGUGUAGCAGUGAAAUGCGUAGAUAUCAAGUGGAACACCAGUGGCGAAGGCGAGUCCCUGGACAAUUCCUGACACUGAGGCACGAAAGCUAGGGGAGCAAACAG
rnacentral:rRNA from 1 species